rnacentral:lncRNA from 1 species
ACCAUGAACAUUAAUUAUAGAAGAACAUAAACAAUCUCAAUUAAAUAAAUUGAAUGAUAGAAUUUAAAUUUAAUUGCAUAGCAUGUUUAGGGUUUUGAAUUCACCCUCAACCAAAUAAAAAUUUAGCCUAACAUAAUUGAAUUGGGAAUAAGAGAAUUGACAAAACCAAUCAUGGAAAUUAAUUCAAGCGGCUGCCCUUUUCUUCAAUUGAAUUCCGGCUACUGAUUUUUCUCUUGCUGCCGAAUUGCAUCAGCACACUCAAAGUCUCUUGCUGCCGAAUUGGAUCAGCCCCUGCUCUCCCUCUUCUCUUGUUGCCCGAAUUCUUCUCUUUUUUUAGUGCUUCCGCUUGAUCCUAUUUAUAAUGCUUCAAUUGUGGCUUUGUUUAAAUCCUUGCCUGGAGAGAAUUAAAUUCCAAGCUCAAAACCGCCACCUCAUGCUUCAAUUAAUAAGCCAAUAAUGAUUUCCUAAAGCCAAAAGGCUUUAUUCUCUUUCCUUUCACGUGGCCACUUUUGGUUUGCAAUCUUUGUUUUCCAAUUUUGCUUUCAUGUGAUGGCUUGGCUUGUUAAUUGGCUUGGCUUCCUUUUUUACUUCCAUUUUCUAAUUUUAGCUCCAUGUGCAACAUUAAUUUUGCUCGGCCCAUACAAGAUUUAAUUAAAUUUAUUUUCUAAUUCUUUCUCAUUCUUGAUCUCUUGUGCACUUUUGUCUCUCAAUCUUCAAUCAAAUUUCUUUCCUGAAUGCUCCGAUUUAAUUUCUCUUUAAUUCCAGAAUAUACCUAAAACAACAAAAUAAAUAAAACUAAGAUAAAAAUUAACACAAUAAAAUAUAAUUAAAAAUUAACUAAAAUAACUAAAAUAUUUAAGACCAAAACAAGAAAAAGAUAGAGAAAUUAAUAGCAAAAUAUAUAGAAAAUAUGCACUUAUCAUAAAGACAUCAAUUCCUUUGGAGCAGUAAUUUCCUUGUUAACAGAAAUAUAAGUGUACCAUUUUCAGGGAGUGUUAAAAAACGGAGAUGAGAUAGCAGUGAAAAGGCUUUCAGGAAGGUCUGGACAAGGAUUGCGAGAGGUAAAAAAUGAAGCUUCAGUGAUAGCCAAGGUUCAGCACAAGAAUCUUGUUAGACUUUUGGGCUGCUGCAUUGAUAGAGAUGAGAAGAUUCCGAUCUAUGAAUACAUGCCAGUGAUAAGUUAAGUGCAUGACUAGCCAUCACCGAAAAGUUUAAGUUGUCUCAAUAAAAAUUAAGCAACCACCUUAUAUUUAAAAGAGCAUUUGAAAACUAAUAAAUUUACUAUUGAAUUACUUUUUAAUCAAAAUAAAUUAUCAUUACAGCAACAUCCACAAACCCAAAUAUCUAAAAAAUAAUAAUUCUCAAAAAACAUAAAGCUAAAAAACUUUUGAAAUUUUCUUUAAAAAACUAAUAAAUAACUAACUUCCUUUUGUAAUAUUCCUUGUUUAUCUUUUUAUAACUUUGUUGGGCUACAUUUAGAAAUUUAAAAAAUUAAAUUGACUCCCUUGCAUUUCAAGGGUGAUAUUGGUAUUUUAUAGGUAAACUAACAUAUUUUAUGUAUAAGCAAACUAACAUGUCAAUUAAUACUAAAAACAUAAGGAUCUCCCUGUAACUUAGGGUUUGCCGAAACAUAAAUGUAGUGAAAAAGUAAAGUUUUAUAAUGAUAAAAUAAUAAAGUGUUACAACCUAAUACUUCUUACAUAUUUUUUAUUUUGAAAUUUCAUCUUUUUUAAUUUUACAAUUUUCUGAAGCACUAAAAAGUUAAUAACCCAUAUUUUAUUUAUUUAUUCUAUAUUAAAUAUAUAUUAAAUAGAAAAAUACUGUUUACAUUUAUAAAUUUUCAUGUGUUUAAAAAAGUUUAUGUGAUAUUACAUUGGUGUCCUUAUACCGUCACUCAUUUUUAUGGUCAAACUAAGUCAAUAGAUCAAACUUUAAAAAUUUAAAACAACAUGAGUUAUAUAAAUAAAUAUUUAAAAAAAUUUAGCCUUUAUUAUAAUGUAAUAAACUGUAGGGGCUGCAUUUUUAAUAACUAAUUGAAUACAUCUAAGUCCUUCCAUAACUAAGCUAUUAGAUCUAUUGAGUAAAUUAGUCUUGUGCACUUUUGUCUCUCAAUCUUCAAUCAAAUUUCUUUCCUGAAUGCUCCGAUUUAAUUUCUCUUUAAUUCCAGAAUAUACCUAAAACAACAAAAUAAAUAAAACUAAGAUAAAAAUUAACACAAUAAAAUAUAAUUAAAAAUUAACUAAAAUAACUAAAAUAUUUAAGACCAAAACAAGAAAAAGAUAGAGAAAUUAAUAGCAAAAUAUAUAGAAAAUAUGCACUUAUCAUAAAGACAUCAAUUCCUUUGGAGCAGUAAUUUCCUUGUUAACAGAAAUAUAAGUGUACCAUUUUCAGGGAGUGUUAAAAAACGGAGAUGAGAUAGCAGUGAAAAGGCUUUCAGGAAGGUCUGGACAAGGAUUGCGAGAGGUAAAAAAUGAAGCUUCAGUGAUAGCCAAGGUUCAGCACAAGAAUCUUGUUAGACUUUUGGGCUGCUGCAUUGAUAGAGAUGAGAAGAUUCCGAUCUAUGAAUACAUGCCAGUGAUAAGUUAAGUGCAUGACUAGCCAUCACCGAAAAGUUUAAGUUGUCUCAAUAAAAAUUAAGCAACCACCUUAUAUUUAAAAGAGCAUUUGAAAACUAAUAAAUUUACUAUUGAAUUACUUUUUAAUCAAAAUAAAUUAUCAUUACAGCAACAUCCACAAACCCAAAUAUCUAAAAAAUAAUAAUUCUCAAAAAACAUAAAGCUAAAAAACUUUUGAAAUUUUCUUUAAAAAACUAAUAAAUAACUAACUUCCUUUUGUAAUAUUCCUUGUUUAUCUUUUUAUAACUUUGUUGGGCUACAUUUAGAAAUUUAAAAAAUUAAAUUGACUCCCUUGCAUUUCAAGGGUGAUAUUGGUAUUUUAUAGGUAAACUAACAUAUUUUAUGUAUAAGCAAACUAACAUGUCAAUUAAUACUAAAAACAUAAGGAUCUCCCUGUAACUUAGGGUUUGCCGAAACAUAAAUGUAGUGAAAAAGUAAAGUUUUAUAAUGAUAAAAUAAUAAAGUGUUACAACCUAAUACUUCUUACAUAUUUUUUAUUUUGAAAUUUCAUCUUUUUUAAUUUUACAAUUUUCUGAAGCACUAAAAAGUUAAUAACCCAUAUUUUAUUUAUUUAUUCUAUAUUAAAUAUAUAUUAAAUAGAAAAAUACUGUUUACAUUUAUAAAUUUUCAUGUGUUUAAAAAAGUUUAUGUGAUAUUACAUUGGUGUCCUUAUACCGUCACUCAUUUUUAUGGUCAAACUAAGUCAAUAGAUCAAACUUUAAAAAUUUAAAACAACAUGAGUUAUAUAAAUAAAUAUUUAAAAAAAUUUAGCCUUUAUUAUAAUGUAAUAAACUGUAGGGGCUGCAUUUUUAAUAACUAAUUGAAUACAUCUAAGUCCUUCCAUAAUUAAGCUAUUAGAUCUAUUGAUUGAAUCAGAAAAGGGUAAAGUUUGGGGUACCUUGCAGCUGUUGCAAAGUAGCUGGACCCUAUUUAUAAUACAGCGCUGCUAUUUACCCCGAGUUAAACCUGAAAAUCCCCAAAACGAUGUUGUUUUCGAUGUGAUCUGUUGCCUUUUAAUUUCCAAAUGAACCGUUUUGAUUCAACUCUCACGCGAGUUCUCCAGCCACAAUUGCCAUCACCCACAAAAUAUUCUCCAGCCACAAUUGCCAUCGCUCACAGACGACAGACCACAGCCAUCAUGCGAGCCACAGACGACGGACCACAGCCAAUCAGCCAUCACGCGAGGUCUCCGUUGCCAUCACUGACAAUCACGCGACAGCCGACACUCACAAAGCUAACACGAACGACACUCACAACGCUGGAAUUGUAUCACACACACAAAUCAGCAACAAUGCUGCUGGAAUUGUAUCAAUAAUUCCAGCAGCAAAAAAAGUAUCACACACACACACAAACACAAAUCCCAAUCAGCUUUGUGAGUGUUGGUUGUCGUGUGACUGUCGGUGAUGGCAACGGCGACCUCGAUCGCGUGAUGGUUGUGGUUGGUCCUCUUUGGCUCCCGUGAUGGCUAUGAGAACUUGAGGAAUGCUUCAUGAAAACGGAUCGUUUUGGAGCUUCAUUCAGGGUGUUUUCAAUUUAGCUAAGUCUUUCCAAACGAAAGGAAAAAAGUUUCCAAACGGUGAGUUUUCUAUUUAAGUAAAACGGUGAGUUUCAUUCGGGGUGCAAGUUGGGGUAAAUAGCUUUUUCCUUUAUAAUAUGGUAGGAAUGGAAAGAAAUUAAAACUAGGUGCCACGCAGCGAAACCAUUCGG